GCCAGCUUAGCUCAGCUGGUAGAGCAGCUCAUUCGUAAUGAGCAGGUCGUCGGUUCGAAUCCGUCAGCUGGCUCAA
rnacentral:tRNA from 5 species